UACGGAGGUGGCAAGCGUUGUUCGGAAUUACUGGGCGUAAAGGGCGCGUAGGCGGCGCGGUAAGUCGGGUGUGAAAUCUCGGAGCUUAACUCCGAAACUGCAUUCGAUACUGCCGUGCUUGAGGACUGGAGAGGAGACUGGAAUUUACGGUGUAGCGGUGAAAUGCGUAGAUAUCGUAAGGAAGACCAGUGGCGAAGGCGGGUCUCUGGACAGUUCCUGACGCUGAGGCACGAAGGUCAGGGGAGCAAACGGG
rnacentral:rRNA from 1 species